rnacentral:rRNA from 1 species
AUCGGAAUUACUGGGCGUAAGCGCACGCAGGCGGUCUGUCAAGUCGGAUGUGAAAUCCCCGGGCUCAACCUGGGAACUGCAUUCGAAACUGGCAGGCUAGAGUCUUGUAGAGGGGGGUAGAAUUCCAGGUGUAGCGGUGAAAUGCGUAGAGAUCUGGAGGAAUACCGGUGGCGAAGGCGGCCCCCUGGACAAAGACUGACGCUCAGGUGCGAAAGCGUGGGGAGCAAACAGGAUUAGAUACCCUGGUAGUCCACGCCGUAAACGAUGUCGACUUGGAGGUUGUGCCCUUGAGGCGUGGCUUCCGGAGCUAACGCGUUAAGUCGACCGCCUGGGGAGUACGGCCGCAAGGUUAAAACUCAAAUGAAUUGACGGGGGCCCGCACAAGCGGUGGAGCAUGUGGUUUAAUUCGAUGCAACGCGAAGAACCUUACCUACUCUUGACAUCCAGAGAACUUUGCAGAGAUGGAUUGGUGCCUUCGGGAACUCUGAGACAGGUGCUGCAUGGCUGUCGUCAGCUCGUGUUGUGAAAUGUUGGGUUAAGUCCCGCAACGAGCGCAACCCUUAUCCUUUGUUGCCAGCGGUCAGGCCGGGAACUCAAAGGAGACUGCCAGUGAUAAACUGGAGGAAGGUGGGGAUGACGUCCAGUCAUCAUGGGCCUUACGAGUAGGGCUACACACGUGCUACAAUGGCGCAUA